rnacentral:rRNA from 1 species
AGAGUUUGAUCCUGGCUCAGGAUGAACGCUAGCGACAGGCUUAACACAUGCAAGUCGAGGGGCAGCAGGGGAGUAGCAAUACUCCCGCUGGCGACCGGCGCACGGGUGAGUAACACGUAUGCAACCUGCCCUUGUCAGGGGGAUAAGCGGAAGAAAUUCCGUCUAAUACCGCAUAAUGCUGCGGGGAGACAUCUCCCUGCAGCCAAAGAUUUAUCGGACAAGGAUGGGCAUGCGGCGCAUUAGCUUGUUGGCGGGGUAACGGCCCACCAAGGCGACGAUGCGUAGGGGUUCUGAGAGGAAGGCCCCCCACACUGGUACUGAGACACGGACCAGACUCCUACGGGAGGCAGCAGUGAGGAAUAUUGGUCAAUGGCCGGGAGGCUGAACCAGCCAAGUCGCGUGAGGGAAGACGGUCCUAUGGAUUGUAAACCUCUUUUGUCAGGGAGCAAAAACUGCCACGUGUGGCAGGAUGAGAGUACCUGAAGAAAAAGCAUCGGCUAACUCCGUGCCAGCAGCCGCGGUAAUACGGAGGAUGCGAGCGUUAUCCGGAUUUAUUGGGUUUAAAGGGUGCGUAGGCGGACAGUUAAGUCAGCGGUAAAAUUGAGAGGCUCAACCUCUUCCCGCCGUUGAAACUGAUUGUCUUGAGUGGGCGAGAAGUAUGCGGAAUGCGUGGUGUAGCGGUGAAAUGCAUAGAUAUCACGCAGAACUCCGAUUGCGAAGGCAGCAUACCGGCGCCCAACUGACGCUGAAGCACGAAAGCGUGGGUAUCGAACAGGAUUAGAUACCCUGGUAGUCCACGCAGUAAACGAUGAAUACUAAUUGUUCGGGUCAAAUGAGAUCUGAGUGAUACAGCGAAAGCGUUAAGUAUUCCACCUGGGGAGUACGCCGGCAACGGUGAAACUCAAAGGAAUUGACGGGGGCCCGCACAAGCGGAGGAACAUGUGGUUUAAUUCGAUGAUACGCGAGGAACCUUACCCGGGCUCAAACGACACAGGAAUGAUCUGAGAAAUCAGGCAGUCCUCCGGGACCUGUGUCGAGGUGCUGCAUGGUUGUCGUCAGCUCGUGCCGUGAGGUGUCGGCUUAAGUGCCAUAACGAGCGCAACCCCCAUCGACAGUUGCCAGCAGGUCAAGCUGGGCACUCUGUCGAGACUGCCGGCGCAAGCUGUGAGGAAGGCGGGGAUGACGUCAAAUCAGCACGGCCCUUACGUCCGGGGCGACACACGUGUUACAAUGGCAGGUACAGCGGGAAGCCACCUGGCGACAGGGAGCGGAACCCGAAAGCCUGUCUCAGUUCGGAUUGGAGUCUGCAACUCGACUCCAUGAAGCUGGAUUCGCUAGUAAUCGCGCAUCAGCCACGGCGCGGUGAAUACGUUCCCGGGCCUUGCACACACCGCCCGUCAAG